CAGUAGCCGCGGUAAUACGAGGGGGGCAAGCGUUGUUCGGAAUUAUUGGGCGUAAAGGGUGCGUAGGCGGUUUGGCAAGUCUUGUGUGAAAUCUUCGGGCUCAACCCGAAGCCUGCACGAGAAACUGCCGGGCUUGAGUAUUGGAGAGGUGAGUGGAAUUUCCGGUGUAGCGGUGAAAUGCGUAGAUAUCGGAAGGAACACCUGUGGCGAAAGCGGCUCACUGGACAAUAACUGACGCUGAUGCACGAAAGCUAGGGGAGCAAACAGGAUUAGAUACCCGCGUAGUCCCUGUCUCUUAUAA
rnacentral:rRNA from 1 species